UCCCUGGUAGUAUAUCGGCUAGUACACGCGCCUGUCAUUACAAAGACUGACAAACGACGAGACCGCGCGAAAGCUGGGUUCGACUCCCAGCCAGGGAG